UACGUAGGGGGCAAGCGUUGUCCGGAUUUAUUGGGCGUAAAGAGCGUGUAGGCGGCUUUACAGGUCCGUUGUGAAAACUCGAGGCUCAACCUCGAGACGCCGGUGGAAACCGUAAGGCUAGAGUCCGGAAGAGGAGAGUGGAAUUCCUGGUGUAGCGGUGAAAUGCGCAGAUAUCAGGAAGAACACCCGUGGCGAAGGCGGCUCUCGUGGGACGGUACUGACGCUGAGACGCGAAAGCGUGGGGAGCGAACAGG
rnacentral:rRNA from 1 species